GAAAAAAAUUGAAGAAAUUUCCUAAUGUUUAGUUUCUAAAGGUUUUGGUGGUUAUGUGGCAUUCUACGAGUUGUUUUCAUGUCUAUGUGUGACGCUGGGAAUUUAGGGCAUUAACCGUCAGCAUCCUCCAGAUUGCUUUCACCAUUAAAGAAGAAGGUGCAGGAAACUAAAACUCUUUGCGGGCCAUGUCCCCUUCUUUACAGCCAAUAACGACCUUCUUCCACUCUUCUGCUUCAGAGACCUCCUUGUCCCCUGCAAGCGGUCGCUCAUUCAACCAGCUUUAUUGUCGUCAUUCAUUCAGCCAGCCUUCAUCGUUGCCGCUUCGGGACUCCAGCUGUAUCACAGCUCUUGUUGUGAAUGCCUUCAAUGUAAAAAAAUAUGGCGCAAUAGGCAAGGGAAAGCAUGAUUCUACUGAGCUCAUUCUAUUGAAGAAUAAGAAAAAUUAACAAUGUUACUAGGGUCGUUAUGUUAAGGAAUCAGAGAAAGAACAUGGUGAAUUUUGUAAUCAGAGAAAUGAACAAGGUGCCAGUUUAUUCUUAA